GCGACCCGCAGGGGGCGGGCAGGCCAGCUGGCUUCCGGCUGCCCUCCGGCGCGGGGGUGGGGGUCGCGGGUCCGCAGGAGAGGACCCUGAGCUCCCCCGAGCCGGGAGCGUCCUGAGCCGGCCGGCCAAGCCUGACGGGUCGCCCUUUAUCGAGACGCCAGUUGGGCACGUUGGCUGCACGAAGAGCGCUACCAAGUGCCCCAGGAUUUUGAGCGGGGUCUCUCUUGCCUUUCCCUGAACGAGCCUUCCUCCGCCAGAGGGUGUCCGGGGCGCCAAAAGAGCCGGUGGGGGAGCGGAAAGCGCCUUGGAGUGGGAAGAGUAGAGAAUGAAUUCUUCCGAUUUGCUAGCUCUGUGAUCUUGGAUCUCUUCCUUGGGCUUCUGCUCUGCUCUGUAUUGCCUUGCAGGGUGCAGUUUCUCAGGCUUCCAGGACAGCUGCCUUUCAGGCUUGGGUUUGGCCAAUGGGAGACAGUGGCAGGAGACUGGAAGUUAGGAGCAUUUAAUCCAGAACUGGUCCCCACUUCCCUAAUCCCUCCGCAGAACCAUGGAACAAAGGCCCAGAUUUAAGGAGAUACACACAAGGGUGUCCCCAGGAUGCACACUCCUUACUGCUUCAAGUUAAAUAAACCUGACCUUUUUUGA